CGCGUAGGUGGUUUGUUAAGUUGGAUGUGAAAUCCCCGGGCUCAACCUGGGAACUGCAUCCAAAACUGGCAAGCUAGAGUAGGGCAGAGGGUGGUGGAAUUUCCUGUGUAGCGGUGAAAUGCGUAGAUAUAGGAAGGAACACCAGUGGCGAAGGCGACCACCUGGGCUCAUACUGACACUGAGGUGCGAAAGCGUGGGGAGCAAACA
rnacentral:rRNA from 1 species